UACGGGGGGGGUAAGCGUUGUUCGGAAUUACUGGGCGUAAAGGGCUCGUAGGCGGCCAACUAAGUCAUACGGGAAAUCCCUCAGCUUAACUGGGGAACUGCGUGUGAUACUGGAUGGCUUGGAUUUGGGAGAGGGAUGCGGAAUUCCAGGUGUAGCGGUGAAAUGCGUAGAUAUCUGGAGGAACACCAAUUGCGAAGGCAGCUCGCUGGGACGUUACUGACGCUGAGACGCGAAAGCGUGGGGAGCAAACAGG
rnacentral:rRNA from 1 species